rnacentral:sRNA from 1 species
AAACACCCGCGUUAGAGAUUGCAGUGAAAAUCCUUUUUUGAGGUACGAAAAAAAGAUUGUAACGAAAAGCUCGACCAUAG